rnacentral:tRNA from 1 species
UAGCAUAUUGGUUAAGUGCUAUGGCUGCUAACCAUAAAGGUCGGUGGUUCGAAUCUACC